CUGUGUGGUCAGGCCCCAGGGCAGGGGCCUCCCAGCCCAGCUUUGGGGACAAAUUUCCCAUCCUUAUUGUCCACUCCUCUCCUCAACUUCAAAAUGUGCUUCCUCCUCAAGCAAAUUGACUUUAAUUACAGGCGUGCCGACCACUGAAAGAUGCGCCAACUUGGGUGAAUCUCCAAAAUCUAGCGCCAAGUGAAAGACAGUGGACACAAAAGAAUACAUCCUGCAUGGGUCCAGGGCUGCUAUGACAGAGUACCACGAACUAGGCAGCUUAAAACAACAUACAUUUAUUCUCUUACAGUUCUAGAAGCCAGAAGUCUGAGAUCAGAGCCGUGCCCCCUCUGAAGGCUCUCGGGAAGAAUCCUUCCCAGUCUCUUCCAGCUCCUGGUGGUGGCCGGAAUCCUUGGUGCCCCUUGGCUCGUGGCUGCAUCACUCCCAUCUUUGCCUCCGUCUUCGCAUAGUCUUCUUCCCCCAGGUGUGUCUGUGUCCAAAUCUCCUUCUCUUUUCUCUUAUAAAACACCAGUCAUUGGAUUUAGGGCCCAGCCUAAUCCAGUAUAAUCUCAUCUUAACUUGGUUGCAUCUGUAAGACCCUAUUUCACAUUCACAGGUACCAAGAGUUAGGACUUGACUAUAUUUUUUUGAGGACACAGUUCAACCCACUUGGUGUUCCAUAUCAUGGAAAGAGUUUGGAUAACACAGGGAGAUGCAUUUGCCAAAAAUAAAGUACACCUAAGAUGUGUGCAUUUCACUGGAUGUAAGUUCUACGGACAGAGAAACAAAUAUUGAGCCCUAGCUAAGAUAUGCAUGCGGAAGUGCUUAGGGAUGAGCUGUACUGGUGUCUGCAACCUACUCUGCAUUUAGCUGCCCUUUCUCUCUGGUCUCCUGUAAUUGGGAACAGUUCCUCAGUCUCUCCUCAUUCACGACCUCGACACUUUUGAAGAGGCCAGGCCAGUCAUUUUAUAGAACGUCCCUCCUUCGACUCUGUCUGAGGUUUCCUCAUGGCUGGACUCAGGCCAUGCACCUUCGUCAGGAACCACCCAGGUGGUGUUAUGUCCUCCUCGGUGCCCCCAUCGGGAGACGCCUGAGAGCCAUUUGUCCCGUUACUGGUGAUAUUAAUUGGUCACUUGGUCAAGGCGACCCCUGCCAGGUUUCACCACUGUCGAGUUACUGUUUUUCCCUCUGUAACGAAUAAGUAUCUUAUGGGGAGAUUAACUAUUUAAAUAUCCUGUUACUCCUCACCGUUCACCCACUAACUUUAACAUCCAUUAAUAUGCUUGCUUCAAUCAAUCUAUCUAUGGCUAUGUAAUAAAUGACCCCAAAACUUAGCAGCUUAAGAUAAUAAUCAUUCAUUUUCUCACCGUUUUUGUGGCUCAAGAAUUCAGGAGUGGUUUGGCUGGAAGGUUCUGGCUUAGAGUCUCUGAAGUUGCAGUCAAGAUGUCAGCUGGGGCGACAGUUAUCUGAAAGCUCGUCUGGGGCUGGGGCUUCACUGUCCAGGAGAAAUAAAAUGUGAGCCACAAUGGAACCACCUGCUUACUUUUAAAUUUCCUAGCAGCCAGUGAAAUUCAUUUUAGUAAUAUAUUUUACAUAACCCAAUAUAUCUAAACUCUUCUCAUUUCAACAUGUUCUCAAUAUUAAAAAGUAUUACCAAGAUA